UCCGGUUUGUCACCGGCAGUCACCUUAGAGUGCCCAACUGAAUGCUGGCAACUAAGAUCAAGGGUUGCGCUCGUUGCGGGACUUAACCCAACAUCUCACGACACGAGCUGACGACAACCAUGCACCACCUGUCACUCUGUCCCCGAAGGGAAAGAUCUAUCUCUAGAUCGGUCAGAGGGAUGUCAAGCCUUGGUAAGGUUCUUCGCGUUGCUUCGAAUUAAACCACAUGCUCCGCUGCUUGUGCGGGCCCCCGUCAAUUCCUUUGAGUUUUAGCCUUGCGGCCGUACUCCCCAGGCGGGGCACUUAAUGCGUUUGCGCCGGCACGGAAGGAGUCGACACCUCCCACACCUAGUGCCCAUCGUUUACGGCUGGGACUAC
rnacentral:misc_RNA from 1 species